AUGUUGAAUAUCAACAAUGGCUUUCACUGGUGCAUUGUCAACUUUUGUAUGAAGCAAUCUUGGCUGAAUGAGAUGGGUCCCAGAGCAGGGAGAGCUCAGCUGCAGUGUGCACUACCACACCAGUGACUGCCCGGGUCUCUCGCUCUUUAUAUUUCUCUGCUGCACUGGGAGCUGCCAUGGUGGUGGUGCUCCCGUCCGAAUGGCCACGGUUGGAGUCUGGGCUGUGGAUGUCAUUGCUAUCUUCCAGUCCAUGGUCCUGCUCCUAGGCCGGGCCGGCUGACAGCCAGCUGUUGAAGGUGUGUCUAACAGAGGGAUUGGGAAGCAGCAGCACCCUUGGGACCAGUCAGAGCUUGGUUUGAGUGAGAGUGCCUUCACCUGUAAUGACUGAACCUUCACUGCCUAACAUGGGAGACGAUCCUCGGGGGUUGCGUCCCAACGUGUGGUCUAGUGACGAGUGGAUAUACAGACUUUAGUUCUGACUAUCUGGAUCCCCGGGGAAGCUGCUUUUAUAAUCACAAACCCACAUGAAGAUGAGAGGGAGCGCUGUGGGGAUUGGCUGGCCCUAUGCUCCAUAUUCACAGAAGCAGGAUGAGGCUGGGAAGCCUGCUGAGAAAAUGGUGUCGUAAUCAGGAGCCCGGCAGUUCUGCCUGAUCAGACAAAAGACUGGCUGGGCCCCCGCCAUCAGAUCUCCAUCCAUCCACAGUCCACAGGUUUGGGCCUGAAAGACGUGCCAGACCUGCUGCCAAAGCAUCAGCCUCCACCUCACCCUGCAGACAUGGCUGAGCACACACACACACACACACACACACACACACACACACACACACACACACACACACACACGCAUUCGCACUCACACGCACACAAAAAAUCACGCAUUCCCUUAUAUGUGUUUUCAAGCAUGUAAGCACACUUUACUUCCUCCUAUUUCCAUACAUCCAGCACGCACAUUCAUGCCUCAUCUCUACGUUAUGUCUGUCUCCGUCGCUGAGGAUGGAGUCGUCACAGACCGACAUGCCACGUGUCAAACUUCGACAUGAUCGAGCCACGUUCACACGGUCCUCCUUGACACAAACAUAGACGCACACAUGCAUUCGGUUUGUCAAUUGUCUGUCAGGCAUGCCCUAUUUUUAAAACUGUAAGCACACCUACACACAUUCUCCCAUGGUUGGUCACACCCACCGCAGCCCAUGUCAUGCUACUGUCCUCAAGACUGUCGUCGUCUUGGAGGACACCCCGCGCAGUUGUAAAGGAGGGAAAAUUAGUCAGGUGUAGUAAAUCUCGACACCUGACACUAGUGGUCUCUGUUUAAAGUUGUUUGCACCACCGCCCCCAUAUUUAAUGGCACAGCACCUACUGAUUAUUGCAUGUUCUGAGCUAGUCUGGUAUUUGCACGGUACAUACCUGUCCAGGGUGUAAGCCCAUCCGCUGAACACGGGGCCCCUCUGUUAGAUGGCUCGCGUUAAUGUCGUAACUGAGAGCGGGAGCCUCAUAUUUGUCAUUCAGAAUCAGUUAUUGUCAGUGUACAUCUUCACUCUGUGUCACACUGUUGGAGAAAAAAAAAAAAAAAAACAGUUCACAGAAAGGUUUUCACUGUGUGCUUUAAUCAGCUGGUUCAGUCUCAAAUAAGCAAUAAGUGAGAUGUCAAACACACAGCACCAGAAUCACCCCUUCAAAAGUGAAGUCAUGAUGGUUUUCUACAGUCAUUUUUACAUGUGAAUCAGUGCACAUUAAAACCUGCAGUUAUUUUCAUGACAUCUGAAUGAGUCAGACUCUGUGUGCAUGUGUUUAGUUGAUGGUGACGUCUGUGGUUGUACAGUCUGUAGUCUGCAACCACAAAAGCAUCGCAAAUAUCACAACAGCGGAUUCUUUUGUAGUUAUUUUGGGUGCUUGUUCUUGCCAAUAUCAGGCUCUUUCUUAACUGUAAAUCAGAGCCACAGCUUUUCUUUUCAUCUCAUGAUUUUAUCAAUAGCCGGUUUUGGCUCCUUUUGCUCUACAUACAGUUGCAGAACUGAUCUAAAACACCCAAACUUAAUUCAUGUGUGCUUUUGUAUAGUUGCUAAACGUGUUGUCUGCAUAUCACUGUAUUUAAGUUUUUGAUUUUCAUGUAACCAUAAUAAACAACUGGUCUUUGAUGCCCUGGUAAGAUGCUGAAUGUACCUUAAUUAACAAGUCUAUUAAAAAAGAAACAGGGGAGAAGGGAUAGGAAGGUUAAAGGUAAAUGAAGGCUCAAUCUAAUUUCAGAGUAUUUACCUGCUUGUUUCUGGGAGAAGCCAAAUGGAAUGAGGAGUGGCUACAGACGUUGUCACACAAGCACGGUGUGAAAACACACUGCAUGCACUCAACUGUAUUACAUUUAGAAGUAAACAACUGCAACACACCAAAAGGAAACUGCUAAAAAUAGUUUUUGUUUUGUUUUUGCCAUGUAUUAUCUUGCACUGCAUUAGUAUGCAUUUUUUUUAUGCAUUUUAAUUCAGCCUGUUUUGUGUGCACAAAUGGCAUUGGCCUAAAAGAACAUACAACAGUGUGAUACGUCGGUAUAUCUACUAGCCUUUUAUUUUUAUUUGACCAAAACAAACAAGCACAAAGAAUAUAAUAAUCACUCAGCUUUUAAAAUAAUAUACAGGUGCAUUUUUGAAUUUUAUGUAAAGUAUUUAUGACAUUAAAUUUGAAAUUGUGGAUUUUGGGUUUAUGGAAAAAGGCCUUAAUCAAUAUCCAGAAUGAGAAUUUUAGUAAAUAAAAACACAUACAUGUGGUAUUCAUUUUUUUUUUAAUUUCAUGCAGUUUCAAGAAUUAAAAAAAGCGGGAGAAAAAAAACCUGUUUGUUAGUAUUUAGAAACAUUUUACGAUAUUUAUUAACCCAUAUGUGACAUAGGAGCAAUGGUAGAGUUUUA